GUCUAUGGGCAUACUGCCCUGAAUGUGCCCAAUCUCAUCUGAUCUCAGAAGCUAAGCACAGUUGGGCCUGGUUAGCACUUAGUACACGGGUGGGAGAAAAGGCUUCUAUUACA
rnacentral:rRNA from 1 species